AUGAUUUCACAGACUCAUCUGAUCUGGAUCCUACUGCUGUGGAUUCAGGAUGCCAAGGGGCAGAUCGUGCUGACACAGACUCCAGAAUCCCUGGCAGUGUCUCCUGGGGACACAGUCACUAUCCGCUGCAAAGCCAGUUCCAGUGUGAGCAGCUACAUGGCCUGGUACCAACAGAAAUCAGGACAAGUUCCUAAGCUCCUCAUACACAGCGCCUCCACCCGUCCCUCUGGGAUCCCAGACCGGUUCAGUGGCAGUGGAUCUGGCACUGAUUUCACAUUCACCAUAAGCCGGGUUGAAGCGGAUGAUGCCGGAGAAUAUUACUGUCAACAAGCUCAAAGCUGGCCUCUCACACAGUGA